GACCUUUGGACCACCCUCACUUCCCCUCUGCAGUGUCAUUAGAUUCACACUCAUUUCUAUCAACAGUUUUAAAGAAAGAUAAUGGCGCGUGUUUUGGUUGGUGUAAAGCGAGUGAUCGACUAUGCUGUAAAGGUUCGCGUUAAGCCGGACAAGACUGGUGUGGUUACACAAGGUGUCAAGCACUCCAUGAAUCCCUUCGAUGAGAUUGCCGUCGAGGAGGCCGUCAAGUUGAAGGAGAAGAAGCUAGCUGGUGAGGUAAUCGCCGUGUCAGUGGGACCAGCACAAUCGCAAGAGGUGAUCCGCACAGCUCUAGCCAUGGGCGCUGAUCGUGGUGUCCAUGUUGAGAUACCAGCUGCCGAGUACGAGCUAUUACAACCGAUCCAUGUAUCAAAAAUUCUCGCCAAGCUGGCACUGGAGGAGAAGGCUGAUCUGGUGAUAUUGGGCAAACAGGCGAUCGAUGACGAUGCCAAUCAGACGGCUCAAAUGACUGCUGCCGCCUUGGACUGGCCACAGGGCACAUUCUGCAACAAGAUCGAAAAGACGGAUGCUGGUCUGACCAUCACUCGGGAAAUCGAUGGCGGUCUGGAGACCAUCAAGACCAAAACACCUGCCGUACUGAGCGCAGAUUUGCGUUUGAAUACACCACGUUAUGCCACGUUGCCCAACAUCAUGAAGGCCAAGAAGAAGCCUCUGAAGAAGGUAACAGCCAAGGAUUUGGGCGUUGAUACAUCGCCACGUAUUGAGAUUGUUUCCGUGGAGGAUCCCCCAGUGCGUCAGGCCGGCGCUGCUGUGGCCGAUGUUGAUGCCCUGGUCGCUAAGCUCAAGGCGGGCGGUCACGCCUAACAUCCCAUCCUUUUUGGAGAAUUGUGAGCAAAACUUUCAACUUCUGUUUUAUUUUUAUAAUUCGUUUUGUUUUUGAAAUUUAUGAGAAAUGUGCAUUUAUCUAGCCUCCCAGAGAUUGCGUGUCUAUCUAAUCUGGUCUGGCCAUCUCCCCGCGCUAUAGCAAACCCCCCGAUUUAGUGCUUUAAGUCAUAACAAAUUUGGAAUUUUUUUUGAAUGGCCUGCAGUUUUAAGAAUAAAGUGUGUGAUUUCAAUUGUCGUUCAACUUGAGACAACUCCAAAAAAAUAACAGAAACAACGCCAAAAAUGGAAUCCAAACUUGACCUUACUCCUUUAUAUGUGGCAAAUCAAGGCUAAAAAUCCAAUUACUAUCUAUGGCAAAUAAUGAAAUAAAUUAAAUUGAAUUAAAAGCAAUUUAUUUUAAGCAAAAUGACAAACUAAA